AUCAUUAUUGAAUUUAAUGUAGAGUUGGUUGUAGCUGGCCCUUGGAUUAAUUUCUUGGGGGCAUGUGCACACCUUCUCUUUCAUCCACACACACCUGUGAACCUGUGAGAUAGUAGUUGGGGACUUUAAUGGACCCACUUCUGUCUACUUAAUUCAUAUAAAUCAAUUUAAUUUAAAACGAAUGUAAUGAAUGUAACGCAUCUAAUACU
rnacentral:misc_RNA from 1 species